AGUGGAUGGGGAGCAACCUAGUUGUGCGUGUGUAAAGGUAGUGCCAAGAAAAGCGAUGAUCAUGUUGAAAAUCAAUUCCCGGUACCCGAAACCGACACAGGUGGGCAAGUAGAGAAUACUAAGGGGCGCGAGGUAACUCUCUCCAAGGAACUCGGCAAAAUGACCCCGUAACUUAGGGAGAAGGGGUGCCACCGAGAGGUGGUCGCAGUGAAGAGGCCCAGGCGACUGUUUAGCAAAAACAUAGGUCUCUGCAAACUCGAAAGAGGAGGUAUAGGGGCUGACGCCUGCCCAGUGCCGGAAGGUUAAAGAAGUUGGUCAGUUUUAGGAUGAAGCUAGCGACUGAAGCCCCGGUGAACGGCGGCCGUAACUAUAACGGUCCUAAGGUAGCGAAAUUCCUUGUCGGGUAAGUUCCGACCCGCACGAAAGGCGUAACGAUCUGGGCGCUGUCUCGGAGAGAGGCUCGGCGAAAUAGGAUUGUCUGUGAAGAUACGGACUACCUGCAUUUGGACAGAAAGACCCUAUGAAGCUUUACUAUAGCUUGGAAUUGUGUUCGGGCUUCCUGUGCGCAGGAUAGGUGGGAGGCGAAGAAGGUAUUCUUGUGGGGAUACUGGAGCCAACGGUGAGAUACCACUCUCAGGAGGCUAGAAUUCUAACUUAAUUAAGGACAGUUUCAGGUGGGUAGUUUGACUGGGGCGGUCGCCUCCAAAAAGGUAACGGAGGCGUACAAAGGUUCCCUCAGACUGGUUGGAAAUCAGUCGCAGAGUGCAAAGGCAGAAGGGAGCUUGACUGCGAGAAGUACAGUUCGAGCAGGGUGGAAACACGGUCUUAGUGAUCCGACGGUGCUGUGUGGAAGGGCCGUCGUUCAACGGAUAAAAGUUACUCUAGGAUAACAGGCUGAUCUCCCCCAAGAGUUCACAUCGACGGGGAGGUUUGGCACCUCGAUGUCGGCUCAUCGCAACCUGGGGCGGAAGUACGUCCCAAGGGUUGGGCUGUUCGCCCAUUAAAGCGGUACGUGAGCUGGGUUCAGAACGUCGUGAGACAGUUCGGUCCAUAUCCGAUGUAGGCGUGAGAAUAUUGAGAGGAGCCUUCCUUAGUACGAGAGGACCGGGAAGGACGCACCGCUGGUGUACCUGUUAUGAUGCCAAUUGUAAACGCAGGGUAGCCAAGUGCGGAGAGGAUAACCGCUGAAAGCAUCUAAGUGGGAAGCCCACCUCAAGAUGAGUAUUCUGGUGUAAGGUCACGGGAAGACGACCCGUAAAUAGGCACGAGGUGGAAGUGCAGAGAUGUAUGAAGCCGAGGUGUACUAAUAGACCGUCGGCUUGACC
rnacentral:rRNA from 1 species